rnacentral:rRNA from 1 species
CUUGACGACCAUAGCAAGGUGGUCCCACUCCUUCCCAUCCCGAACAGGACAGUGAAACGCCUUUGCGCCGAUGAUAGUGGACGUACGUCUGUGAAAGUAGGUCAUCGUCAGGC